rnacentral:tRNA from 1 species
GCCUGUUUGGCUCAGUGGAUAGAGCGUCAGCCUGCGGACUGAAGGGUCCCGAUUCAAUUUCGGUCAAAGGCA